AUGCAACCAAAUGGAAUACCCAGUGCCGUGGCGGUGGCUGUGGAUUAAUUGGAUCGUCAGUGGCGAUGCUGCUUCAAGAUGCAGAAGGUAUGCUGACGAGGCAGAGAGGAAGAUCGACGUCGCCGAACACUGACCUCCCUCUACUACUCGCCUGUGUCCUUGGCCUUGAAACCAGAACGUGUUUCGGGAGAUGAAAUCCAACCAGCAGCACAGGUGGAACGAUAAUUGCUCGGCCGUCAUAGCGAACGUAAGCCUCGCCUUUACUUUCGCUCCAUUACGGAAUCGGAGAACGCCCAAGCGAAGAGUAAUCCUGCACGUUAGAUGGUAACCAUUAUACCGACCGGGGGAAGAAGGCCAUGCUGGAUAGGCGGAGCCACUCUUCUUCGACUACGCACGAUCUCUCUAUUGAGUGGGCGGAGCGAGUUUGCUUCGAUUGGUCAUGCGCAGAGCUUAUCAGGAGGCCCGCUGCGUAUACCUCUUCUGAUGUUCUGUGAUCCUCCUAUCAGGAGCAGUUCCGUAACACCAAUCGCAAGAUGGCGCUAGUACCGUUAUUGACCAAUAGAUGAUAACAGUUGUACUAUUAUGUUGUAAUUAUUGUACUAUCAUAUUUUAACGCAGAAACAUGUCCGUGAGCUACGCUGAGACGUAUGCAUGCUCGAAAACAAGGCAGAAAAAUAUUAUAUCUGUACUCUUAUAAUGAUAGUACAAUAAAACUCUUAUUAAGGAACACUUUUUAAGGAAUAUGUAAAAACUAAUUACGUCAU